rnacentral:rRNA from 1 species
UUUCUUGAUUCAGUGGGUGGUGGUGCAUGGCCGUUCUUAGUUGGUGGAGUGAUUUGUCUGGUUAAUUCCGUUAACGAACGAGACCUUAACCUGCUAAAUAGUCACGCGAACCGGUCCGCAAGGGCUCAAAGUUCGCGGCUCGACUUCUUAGAGGGACUAUUCGCACCCGCCAGCGAAUGGAAGUUUGAGGCAAUAACAGGUCUGUGAUGCCCUUAGAUGUUCUCGGCCGCACGCGCGUUACACUGACGGAGUCAACGAGCGUUUUUCCUUGCCCGACAGGGCUGGGUAACCUCCUGAAACUCCGUCGUGAUGGGGAUAGAUCAUUGCAAUUAUUGAUCUUGAACGAGGAAUUCCUAGUAGGCGCGAGUCAUCAACUCGCGCCGAUUACGUCCCUGCCCUUUGUACACACCGCCCGUCGCUCCUACCGAUUGAACGGUCCGGCGAGAACUCCGGGA